UCAACAAUAUCAUCACUCAUCACCACUAUUAGCCUCUACCAUCAUCCUAAUAAGUCACAUCUAGAGCUGGGGCUGUAAACUGUGUACCCUGCAUCAUUUGUGCCAUCAUGUUUUGCAUCAUUUAUUGCAUACACUCCUCUAGCAUCUACUCGCAUUGGCGGUAUCUCUCCUCCAGCAUCAGCUAGGUCUCUCUCCUCCAUUGCAGCCAAACUAUCUUUUAGCAUUGCAAUAGUCUGAUGCAAUUGUUAAAUUUCUUCCUCCAUUGCCUCCAAUUGAGCAUGAUGGGAUGCAGUAGAA
rnacentral:misc_RNA from 1 species